rnacentral:piRNA from 1 species
UGGGUUGAUGGUACUGGAGAAGG